rnacentral:rRNA from 1 species
GAUAAACGCUGGCGGCGCACAUAAGACAUGCAAGUCGAACGGAAGUCGUUACGAAACGGAGUGAAGAUUUAUCUGAAUGAAGUUUUGUAACAAUGGCUUUAGUGGCGGACUGGUGAGUAACACGUAAGCAACCUGCCUAUUAGAGGGGAAUAACAAUGAGAAAUGACUGCUAAUACCGCAUAAGCGCACGUCAUCGCAUGAUGGUGUGUGAAAAACUCCGGUGGUAUGAGAUGGACCCGCGUCUGAUUAGCUAGUUGGUGGGGUAACGGCCUACCAAGGCGACGAUCAGUAGCCGACCUGAGAGGGUGACCGGCCACAUUGGGACUGAGACACGGCCCAA